rnacentral:rRNA from 1 species
AACGAACGCUGGCGGCAGGCUUAACACAUGCAAGUCGAACGCAUCCUUCGGGGUGAGUGGCAGACGGGUGAGUAACGCGUGGGAACGUGCCCUUCAGUUCGGGAUAACCCAGGGAAACUUGGGCUAAUACCGGAUACGUGCGAGAGCAGAAAGAUUUAUCGCUGAAGGAUCGGCCCGCGUUUGAUUAGCUAGUUGGAGGGGUAAUGGCCCACCAAGGCGACGAUCAGUAGCUGGUCUGAGAGGAUGAUCAGCCACAUUGGGACUGAGACACGGCCCAAACUCCAACGGAAGGCAGCAGUGGGGAAUAGUGGACAAUGGGCGCAAGCCUGAUCCAGCCAUGCCGCGUGAGUGAUGAAGGCCUUAGGGUUGUAAAGCUCUUUCGUCCGGGACGAUAAUGACGGUACCGGAAGAAGAAGCCCCGGCUAACUUCGUGCCAGCAGCCGCCGUAA